UUAUUUUAAGCUGCAUGGGGAUAUAGUUGUCAUCUACUGUUUAUUCUGUUUUGAUUUAUUGAUCAUUUUGUUAUCUAUUUAAACUAUUUUACAUUAAUGUGUGAUGAAAUGAAGGCAUGGGAGAAGCUUGGUGAUCAUUAUUUGCAGUUUGGAUAUUUAGGGUGCCAGGUGGCAUUGAGCUAGUGGCUGGUUGAAGAUGAGGAGAUUAGGGUGUGGGGUGGAGUGGAGGAAGUAUGGAGCCUAAGUCACUCACUCACUUGGCAUAUUGCAGCCAUCUAAUGUGAAAUCUGGGCUCAGACUCAGACACUUACAUAGAAGAAAUGGCCAUGAUAAAGAAUUCUCAUACAAGAGUUCAUUGUAUGUUACAUGAGAGUAUGAGACUCAAGAUAAGAAUCAGUGUGAUUAUUUUUUUUUUCAUGAUGCAAAUAGGGGCAAAUUCGGUUCAGGUCGUGUUUGUAAAUGUAUUAAACUAGUGAUGUCCGUUGUACAAUUUAUUCUAAAAUAAAAAUUGUCGAUUUUGUUAAA
rnacentral:lncRNA from 1 species